rnacentral:rRNA from 1 species
CCUACGGGUGGCUGCAGUCGAGAAUCAUUCACAAUGGGGGAAACCCUGCUGGUGCGACGCCGCGUGGGGGAAUGAAGGUCUUCGGAUUGUAAACCCCUGUCAUGUGGGAGAAAAUUAAAAAGAUAGUACCACAAGAGGAAGAGACGGCGAACUCUUUGCCAGCAGCCGCGGUAAUACAGAGGUCUCAAGCGUUGUUCGGAAUCACUGGGCGUAAGGCGUGCGUAGGCUGUGUCGUAAGUCGUGUGUGAAAGGCGCGGGCUCAACCCGCGGACGGCACAUGAUACUGCGAGACUAGAGUAAUGGAGGGGGAACCGGAAUUCUCGGUGUAGCAGUGAAAUGCGUAGAUAUCGAGAGGAACACUCGUGGCGAAGGCGGGUUCCUGGACAUUAACUGACGCUGAGGCACGAAGGCCAGGGGAGCGAAAGGGAUUAGAUACCCGGGUAGUC